GUAGGUGAACCUGCGGAAGGAUCAUUAACACGUAUCCAACGUUAAAACAACCCUGUGAACCUUUAACGCGAUCUUGCAGCCCAUGAAAGCAGCAAUCCCUGGUAAAUCAUUGUUGACCAGCUUUUGAGUCAGGGACCUCUGCCGAUGAGAAGUUACAGUUGCAAUCGAGCGCUUGCAUUAAGUGACCUGGCAUCCCCAAGCAACCAUUGUCUGAAAGUGUCAUUGGUUGUGUAAGGAUGGCGCGUAAACG
rnacentral:misc_RNA from 1 species